UUAACCGUGAGCUUAAUUUGUUUGUGUUCGGAGUUGCUCAGCAGUGAACACAGGCGGAGGAGGAAGUAGGACUGGUGACGAAGUGGGAAAAAAUCAUUUACACAACAAUCCCAACUCUAGGUCCACGCUGCUGUUUUGUUUUUCAGAGCUUCCCAUCACCUUUCCAGACCAGAACGUCACAAAGUGCUUCACAAAAGAAAUGAAGCAGCCGACAUUAAUACAGACAGAAAAUAGAAAUAAAUGAAGAGUCUAAGCAGGUGGGUCUUUAGCUGCUUUUUAAAGGUGUCCACAUAUCUUAAGUCCAAAGGGAGAGAGUUCCAAAGUUUAGGAGCCACGACCUCAAAAGGACAGUCUCCUUUAGUUUUAAGCCUGGAUCAAGGAACAACCAGCAAACCCUGAUCAGAGGAGCGCAGAGACCUGCUGAUGACGCAGGGCUGCAGCAGAUCUCAGAUGUAGGCAGGUGCCUGACCGUGCAGAUCACUGCCAGCGAGCAUGACCUGGCCGUCCCCUGGUUACUUCCUGAACAGCCCAGUCUUCAUGCUGGAUGAUUGUGCAACAAGUGAUUUUCUUCUGUGCCAAAGUUCAAUGCCAGUGCAGGAAUGCAACGUCCACAGAAUGCAAAGUCGUGUCAGAACCCUGUUGAAAACGAGGCGAUGCAUCUCAAGGGUUACUCCUGCAAACAAUAUAAUUUGUCCAACUACAUGUCCAGCUACGCAGCCAUCGCCCACCAUGAGGAAAAGGUCAAAGUGAGAAACCAAAUCGUUCCCAUGUCCAGCAGUUAUCCCUGCGGUGUAGCGGACAGACAGGACGCUCGGCUCCGCCUGACGGUUCGAUCGUCAGCUGAGGCGAAGGAGCCCGGCCGACCAGACUCCAGCUCUGGGAGAGAAACCCCUUUGAUCUGCCUUCAAACUGAUUCAUGAACACCAACUGAUGGGGCGGCACGAAACACCCUGAUGCCCAGCCUGCACGGCCCCCAGGUCCCCAGCAAAACUAUGUGCUUUCAUUU